rnacentral:lncRNA from 1 species
UUCAUUCUCCAUGCAAGUGAUGGUAAUGCCGCUGCUACCGGGGAGGGUAACGGUGGGGCAGCAUCGGCUCAACGUAACAGUAACCCACCUGCAUCUGCUCGUAGCUGAAAAAUCAGGUCAGCUAAUCGACCACCUUUUCUGUAUACAAUGUGAUCAUCUCAGGGUUUUUGGCUUUUUGCAGUUUGAACAAUCAUUGUUGCUCAAUGUUGGUGUAAGAUUAAAUCUUUUGAUAUAUGUUUACAAGUAGCGUUGGCCAAAAUAGCACCUAAGAUUGAUUUUUUAAGUAACGAUGUCUGUCUUUUCCUUUCCGACAACAAACGGUACGUAAGUCUCAUGUUAUGGAAAUGUUUUGUUGGUU